UACGUAGGGUGCAAGCGUUAAUCGGAAUUACUGGGCGUAAAGCGUGCGCAGGCGGUUCUAUAAGACAGAUGUGAAAUCCCCGGGCUCAACCUGGGGACUGCAUUUGUGACUGUAGAGCUGGAGUAUGGCAGAGGGGGAUGGAAUUCCGCGUGUAGCAGUGAAAUGCGUAGAUAUGCGGAGGAACACCGAUGGCGAAGGCAAUCCCCUGGGCCUGUACUGACGCUCAUGCACGAAAGCGUGGGGAGCAAACAGG
rnacentral:rRNA from 1 species